GACGAACGCUGGCGGCGUGCUUAACACAUGCAAGUCGAACGGAAAGGCCCUGCUUUUGUGGGGUGCUCGAGUGGCGAACGGGUGAGUAACACGUGAGUAACCUGCCCUUGACUUUGGGAUAACUUCAGGAAACUGGGGCUAAUACCGGAUAGGAGCUCCUGCUGCAUGGUGGGGGUUGGAAAGUUUCGGCGGUUGGGGAUGGACUCGCGGCUUAUCAGCUUGUUGGUGGGGUAGUGGCUUACCAAGGCUUUGACGGGUAGCCGGCCUGAGAGGGUGACCGGCCACAUUGGGACUGAGAUACGGCCCAGACUCCUACGGGAGGCAGCAGUGGGGAAUAUUGCACAAUGGGCGGAAGCCUGAUGCAGCAACGCCGCGUGCGGGAUGACGGCCUUCGGGUUGUAAACCGCUUUCGCCUGUGACGAAGCGUGAGGGAGGUAAUGGGUAAAGAAGCACCGGCUAACUACGUG
rnacentral:rRNA from 1 species